AUGGAUGCGGCCGCCGCCACAGGGUCACCGGCCACGGCCAAGUCCCUAGCGAACCUCCGUGCCUUCUUCCUGGGAUGCGCGACCCCCCGACGAAUAGACACCAUGGUCCCGCGUGUGGCCGCCGUGCUGCCCACCCCGACAGCACUGCCCCCUCGAGCCACCCACCAGCUCCAUCCAUCUCGUCUGCCUCAGGGAUGGUCGUCUCCUCGCUGUAGGAUGAGCUGGCUCCAUCCUGUCCCACGGCCAUGGCGGGCUCCUCUGCAGACGACUUGGCUCCAGUUGUGCUCGAGGCCGCUGUCUCCCAUGGCCAUGCUCGAGGUCGCCAGCGUCUGCUAUGCAGCUGGGCCGAGAGAGCAGUGCCAAGAUGUGCUGCGGUAUGCGCAGCCCAUGAUGGUGUUGACGGCCAGGUCCUCCAUCACCGGCAGUUAG
rnacentral:rRNA from 1 species